rnacentral:rRNA from 1 species
AUUGAACGCUGGCGGCAGGCCUAACACAUGCAAGUCGAACGAGUGGCGGACGGGUGAGUAAUUUCUGGGAAACUGCCCGAUGGAGGGGGCUAACUACUGGAAACGGUAGCUAAAACCGCAUCCCAUCGGCUGUGCCCAGCUGGGAUUAGCUAGUGGGUGGGGUAACGGCUCACCUAGGCGACGAUCCCUAGCUGGUCUGAGAGGAUGACCGGCCACACUGGAACUGAGACACGGUCCAGACUCCUACGGGAGGCAGCAGUGGGGAAUAUUGCACAAUGGGCGCAAGCCUGAUGCAGCCAUGCCGCGUGUAUGAAGAAGGCCUUCGGGUUGUAAAGUACUUUCGGCGAGGAGGCGUUACUCGCAGAAGAAGCACCGGCUAACUCCGUGCCAGCAGCCGCGGUAAUUC